AGUAACAGCGAAAAAUAAUUAAAUCAGAAAACAGAAUUCGACACACGAAUCCUAGAUAUCUACCAGCAGAUAAGCACCAAGCCUAAACUGCACCAGAUGGCAGCAACUAGAAAUUGAAAAACAAGAGAGGUUUAAGCCGCUUUACCAGAGCGGGAUCCUAAGGUCAGGACCCCGACUUACCAAUGCGACGACGAGGUCAACCGUGGCUCUGAUACCACUGUUGAGUAUCGACCCUCGUCGUCGUUGUUGAAGGCUUCCUUCUCCGGGGCAGCAAAGCAGCGGCAACACAGCGGCGGAACAGCAGCAGGGACGGCGGCGGCAGGGGCAGCAGCAGCGGCGGCUGUCCUCCGGCAACAACGCAGCAGCAACAGCGGCGCAGCAACGAGGUAGCAGCAGCCUCGACAACCUGCAAGGAAAAACACACAAAGAGAGGAACAAGGGGCGUCGAUCUUCUCGGCUCAGCCACAGACCAAGGGCUCUUUAAAUAGCCUACCAUAGAAGGAUCUAGAGAAGGAAGGUGAAGAGGUUCAUGGGGGAGAAGAAGCGCAGGGGUCACAGCCCCAAAAGGGCACUAAUUUUCGACUGGAAGGGGGAAAUGAGAGGGCUGCCAAAAUAAGGAGGAUAGGGCAUGGGCUUGUUGGGCCAAAUUUGGGCCAACUAACAACAUAAC